AAAGUCUGUAGAUUAUAGACAAAACACGCAUCUUUCAUCACAAAUUUCUGUUUAUUCCCCCAACGUGCAAGAGUUAAAAUACAAAACAGGUGAAGUUAAAUAACUAAAAUGUAAAAGAAUUUACAAAAAAGAAGUUUUUUUUUUUUUUUUUUUUAAAAAGAUCAGAAGUAGUGGAUAAUGCAGUUUAUUUCUGUGACAGUCUCUCCAGCACUGACACCGUACGUCCCAUCAGUCCAACCAAGGUGUUUGAAUUUUCAUCCAUCCUCUGGAUGUUCUGGAGCAUAGCAGUGGUCAGGUCUUGGUCUCUGGAUGUUCUGGAGCAUGGCAGUGGUCAGGUCUUGGUCUCUGGAUGUUCUGGAGCAUGGCAGAGGUCAGGUCUUGGUGUCUCCUCAACUGUUCCUCUGACCUCUCCAGAUACUGCAGCAGAUCCACAGUAGCAUCCUGCUUCCUUUUUCCUGCAUAAAAGCACCCAAAAAGUCUAAACAGAUCUUACUUGAUUUGGUCUGUUGAGAGGAGAACGGCAUGGAUG
ensembl:lncRNA